CUGAGUACGGCGGAACACGUGAAAUUCCGUCGGAAUCCGGGAGGACCAUCUCCCAAGGCUAAAUACUCCCUAGUGACCGAUAGUGAACCAGUACCGUGAGGGAAAGGUGAAAAGCACCCCGGAAGGGGAGUGAAACAGUUCCUGAAACCGUGUGCCUACAAGUAGUUAGAGCCCGUUAAUGGGUGAUAGCGUGCCUUUUGUAGAAUGAACCGGCGAGUUACGAUUUGUUGCAAGGUUAAGCGGAAAAAGCGGAGCCGUAGCGAAAGCGAGUCUGAAUAGGGCGCAUAAGUAACAGGUCGUAGACCCGAAACCAGGUGAUCUACCCAUGUCCAGGAUGAAGGUAAGGUAAUACUUACUGGAGGUCCGAACCCACGCACGUUGAAAAGUGCGGGGAUGAGGUGUGGGUAGCGGAGAAAUUCCAAUCGAACUUGGAGAUAGCUGGUUCUCUCCGAAAUAGCUUUAGGGCUAGCCUCGAGGUAAAGAGUCAUGGAGGUAGAGCACUGUUUGGACUAGGGGCCCUUCUCGGGUUACCGAAUUCAGAUAAACUCCGAAUGCCAUGUACUUAUACUCGGGAGUCAGACUGCGAGUGAUAAGAUCCGUAGUCGAAAGGGAAACAGCCCAGACCACCAGUUAAGGUCCCCAAAUAUAUGUUAAGUGGAAAAGGAUGUGGGGUUGCUUAGACAACCAGGAUGUUGGCUUAGAAGCAGCCACCAUUGAAAGAGUGCGUAAUAGCUCACUGGUCGAGUGACCCCGCGCCGAAAAUGUACCGGGGCUAAACAUAUUACCGAAACUGUGGAUGAACCUCUUUAGAGGUUCGUGGUAGGAGAGCGUUCUAAGGGCGGUGAAGUCAGACCGGAAGGACUGGUGGAGCGCUUAGAAGUGAGAAUGCCGGUAUGAGUAGCGAAAGAAGGGUGAGAAUCCCUUCCACCGAAUAUCUAAGGUUUCCUGAGGAAGGCUCGUCCGC
rnacentral:rRNA from 1 species